rnacentral:rRNA from 1 species
CAUACGACCGUACCGCAAACCGACACUGGUGCGCGAGAUGAGUAUUCUAAGGCGCUUGAGAGAACUCAGGAGAAGGAACUCGGCAAAUUGACACCGUAACUUCGGAAGAAGGUGUGCCCUAUUAGUGUGUAGUGAACAACGAAGCAUGAAUGGGUUGCAAAAAAUCGGUGGCUGCGACUGUUUAUUAAAAACACAGCACUCUGCAAACACGAAAGUGGACGUAUAGGGUGUGACGCCUGCCCGGUGCUGGAAGAUUAAAUGAUGGGGUGCAAGCUCUUGAUUGAAGUCCCAGUAAACGGCGGCCGUAACGAUAACGGUCCUAAGGUAGCGAAAUUCCUUGUCGGGUAAGUUCCGACCUGCACGAAUGGCGUAACGAUGGCCACACUGUCUCCUCCUGAGACUCAGCGAAGUUGAAAUGUUUGUGAUGAUGCAAUCUCCCCGCGGAAAGACGGAAAGACCCCAUGAACCUUUACUGUAGCUUUGUAUUGGACUUUGAACAGAUCUGUGUAGGAUAGGUGGGAGGCUUUGAAGCAGGGUCGCUAGAUCUUGUGGAGCCAACGUUGAAAUACCACCCUGGUGUGUUUGAGGUUCUAACCUAGGUCCAUUAUCUGGAUCGGGGACAGUGCAUGGUAGGCAGUUUGACUGGGGCGGUCUCCUCCCAAAGCGUAACGGAGGAGUUUGAAGGUACGCUAGCUACGGUCGGACAUCGUGACGAUAGUGCAAUGGCAUAAGCGUGCUUAACUGCGAGACUGACAAGUCGAGCAGAUGCGAAAGCAGGACAUAGUGAUCCGGUGGUUCUGUAUGGAAGGGCCAUCGCUCAACGGAUAAAAGGUACUCUGGGGAUAACAGGCUGAUACCGCCCAAGAGUUCAUAUCGACGGCGGUGUUUGGCACCUCGAUGUCGGCUCAUCUCAUCCUGGGGCUGUAGCCGGUCCCAAGGGUAUGGCUGUUCGCCAUUUAAAGAGGUACGUGAGCUGGGUUUAAAACGUCGUGAGACAGUUUGGUCCCUAUCUUCCGUGGGCGCUGCAGAUUUGAGGAAGCCUGCUCCUAGUACGAGAGGACCGGAGUGGACACACCUCUGGUGUAUCGGUUGUCACGCCAGUGGCAUUGCCGAGUAGCUAAGUGUGGAAGAGAUAACCGCUGAAAGCAUCUAAGCGGGAAACUCGUUUCAAGAUGAGAUCUGCCGGGGCCUCGAGCCCCCUAAAGAGUCGUUCAAGACCAGGACGUUGAUAGGUCAGGUGUGGAAGCG